GACACGCUUGCCUAGAAAACUUAAUAGAGAGGAGAGGGCUGAUCUGAACCAGAUGUUCCUUGCCUAUAUAAACUAAAAUGUAUUUAUGUCUGAGAGAGUCCAAUGCUGACUGCAUCUAGAAAAGGUCUCCCAUGCGCUGGUCACUACUGAAUAAACCCUUGUUGAAUUCUUAACAGUUUUUUCGACUACAAGAGCUGAUUUUUCUACAACACUACUACUAUUGAAGGAGGAGAGAUUACUAGACACUAAUUAGGUGUCCUCUUUUAUCUGUGGAUUAAUUGUUGGAGUAGAGAACACAAUUUUGUAUAACUCAAAAUGGGUAAUUUUUUUACAAAGAACCAGAAAGAAAGAAAGUGCACUUCAGAGUCAAACCCAAUGAGGAUCGUGCUGCUGGGGAAAACAGGAUGGGGCAAAAGCAGUGCAGGAAACACCAUCUUUGGAGGAGGGACAGAGUUCAAGAUAAACAGUUCAGCCAAGUCCGAGAUGUACAAGUGUGAAGCAAAGACCAAGGACAUCAAUGGAAGAAAACUCACUGUAGUAGACACACCUGGAUUUUUUGACACAAACAUCCCUGAAGAGGAUCUGAAACCUGAACUAGUGAAAUGUAUUGUAGAGUGUGCUCCGGGGCCACAUGCCUUUCUCAUUGUGCUUAGAGUGGACCGCUACGGAUGUCAUGAGGAACAAGUCAUUGAAGAAAUUGCUAAAUGUUUUUCACCAGAGGCCUUCAAAUAUUCCACAGUUCUCUUCACUCACGGUGACCAGCUUGAAGGAAUAACUAUUCAGGAUUUUGUGAAAACGAAUGAUAAACUGAGUGAGCUUGUGGAGAAAUGUGGUGGCCGCUGUCACGUCAUUGACAACAAAUACUGGAACACCAAUCAGCAGAGUCAGUACAGGAACAACCAGUACCAAGUAACAGAGUUACUCAACACCAUAGAGGAGAUGGUGAGCGAGAACGGAGGAGAAUGCUACACCAACGAGUUGCUCCAAGAGGCAGAGAGAUUAAUACAAGCAGAGAUAGAGAGUCUUAGGAAGGAGUCAAUGGGAAAGAUGUCAGAGGAAGCGAUCAAUAAACAGGCCACUGAAAAUGUGUGGAAGAAACUCCUGAUCAAAUUAACAGGGAUAGCAACAGGUACAAUAGUGGGAGCUCUCCUUGGGGUUGCAGGGGCAGAAGCAUUCGUUCAAUCAGUACUUGGUAAGAUACCCACGAUAACUGAACUUGGGGCAGGAGGACUAAACACAGCAAUAACAGUAACCAUAGCUGGAGCAAUUGUAGCUGGGGGGCAAUAGGAGGGAAGAUGAUAGGAGCUGCUGCAGCAGAGAAUGCAGAGACACCAGGAGAGGCAGCAAAGAAAGCAGCUGAGGCAGUCUGAGGUGGAGUCAAACCCAAUGAGGAUCGUGCUGCUGGGGAAAACAGGAUGGGGCAAAAGCAGUGCAGGAAACACCAUCUUUGGAGGAGGGACAGAGUUCAAGAUAAACAGUUCAGCCAAGUCCGAGAUGUACAAGUGUGAAGCAAAGACCAAGGACAUCAAUGGAAGAAAACUCACUGUAGUAGACACACCUGGAUUUUUUGACACAAACAUCCCUGAAGAGGAUCUGAAACCUGAACUAGUGAAAUGUAUUGUAGAGUGUGCUCCGGGGCCACAUGCCUUUCUCAUUGUGCUUAGAGUGGACCGCUACGGAUGUCAUGAGGAACAAGUCAUUGAAGAAAUUGCUAAAUGUUUUUCACCAGAGGCCUUCAAAUAUUCCACAGUUCUCUUCACUCACGGUGACCAGCUUGAAGGAAUAACUAUUCAGGAUUUUGUGAAAACGAAUGAUAAACUGAGUGAGCUUGUGGAGAAAUGUGGUGGCCGCUGUCACGUCAUUGACAACAAAUACUGGAACACCAAUCAGCAGAGUCAGUACAGGAACAACCAGUACCAAGUAACAGAGUUACUCAACACCAUAGAGGAGAUGGUGAGCGAGAACGGAGGAGAAUGCUACACCAACGAGUUGCUCCAAGAGGCAGAGAGAUUAAUACAAGCAGAGAUAGAGAGUCUUAGGAAGGAGUCAAUGGGAAAGAUGUCAGAGGAAGCGAUCAAUAAACAGGCCACUGAAAAUGUGUGGAAGAAACUCCUGAUCAAAUUAACAGGGAUAGCAACAGGUACAAUAGUGGGAGCUCUCCUUGGGGUUGCAGGGGCAGAAGCA